AAUAUACUCUCUCCGUCCCAAAAUUCUUGUCUUAUAUUUGUCUAGAUACGGAUGUAUCUAACACUAAAAUGUAACUAGAUACAUCUGUAUUUAGAUAAAUCUAAGACAAGAAUUUUGAGACGGAGGGAGUAGUUG
rnacentral:pre_miRNA from 1 species